AGCAACAAAAGCAGAAAUGGUUCGAAAAGUAAAGAAGCGAUUUGAUCGAAACCCGCGUCGCAGUGGCCGAAAAAUGGAUCGUGAGUUGAACAUAUCGCAAUAUUCCAUUCGGCUUAUAUUGAAAAAUGAACUCGGGGUAAAUUACUGAAAUUCCAAAAAGUGCAAGAACUUACACCGCAACAGAAAGAAAAUAGACUCAAAAGAUCUAAACAGUUGCUUCGCUUGGCCGAAAGUGGUGAACUGCCGAAUUUGGUUUUCUCCGGUGAGAAAACAUUCGUUGUCCAGCAGUUUGUAAACAAACAAAAUGAUCGUGUCUACUUGCCAAAGAGGUCAGCUGAAAAUGUGCACCUUCGAUUGGCCACCAGAACUCAAGCGCCGGUCAUGGUGAUGGUGUGGCCGCCAUAACUGCCUAUGAUGACUCUCCGCUCGUAUUAAUCGACGUGGCCUCAGAAUAAAUGGCGAAUAUUAUCGCGAAAAUAUUCUGGAGGAUGCAAACAUUUUGGCCGCAGGCCUUGGAUAUUCCAACAGAACUCAGCACCAUCGCAGUCAGCACGCGCAACCCAAGAAUUGUUACAAAAUGAGGUUCCUCGCUUCAUUUCCAGCGCACAAUGGGCAACGACAUCUCCGAAUACCAAUCCGUUGGACUAUUGUGUCUGGAGUAUUUUGAAAAUCAAGGUUGGCACUAAAAAAUGCCAAAGUGUCGAUCAACUCAAGCAACCGCUUCGCCGAGAAUGGGUCAAAAUACCGCAGAGCAACAUUCGGGCAGCGUGUUACAGUUUCAUUGGCCGUUUGUAGGCCAUAAUUCGCGCUAAUGGUGCCCAAUUCGAACAAAUCUCAACUUAUUCUAAAAUUUGAUGUUAUUUCCGACAUUU